ensembl:lncRNA
AGAACAUCCAGGCCUGAAAGACAAGCUGAGGGGUGGAUAGAACGGUGUGGGGAGGAGUCUAGUGCUGGCUGGGGAAUUUGGAAGCAGGAAAGAGGUACAGAGUGGACUUUACAACCAGAAUGAAGCUGGGAAAUGCCCCCAUGAAAGAAGCCAAAGACAGGUUGGAGUUUGGGGUUUGGUGUGUAACUGAAGUUUCAAAGUCAACAUCUAAUGCCUCCAAAUGAUCUUUAGUAGCUAAAACACUCUCACACAGAAAAGAAAGCAAGUCUUCAAGAUGAAUGUGAAGUUGACAGGUCACUGUACUGGUUCAGCUUUAGAUCCUGUUCUACCUGGACAUAGUUUUAAACUUCAUAGAUCCCUACAUAUCUAAUCGCUUUAAGUUAAUCAUUCAAAAGUUCUGAGUAGGGUUUACAGACCCACGAAGUCUGUGACCAACUGCCGGAAGCUUUCACAACUGCCAUGGUAUCCUUGUCAUAUUUUACUAAAGAAAAAAAUUUCACCCCUAAUUUUUUUCAGUUAAGUUUCUUCUGAUACAAUUCACUCAACAGCAAAUUGAUUGAUGUAUGUUAAAGUGACAUGUCAAGCAGACAGUUACCUAUAUUGAUAGUCCAUUUGUGAUUACCCAAAGAAGUAAAGUUUGUUAGGAGAAGGCAAUGAGAAUUGCCUUGUAUUCCCUUUGUUUAAGAAGAACACAAAUUCUUCAGUAAAAAUUGUGGCAGAUAAGGUAUAUUUUAACAGUUGAAAGGUAUAGGAUGAUGUAUGAAUGAAGCUGUGGGAUUGAAGCCAAACCUUGAGUGGAAACUCCCAGGAAAUUGCUGGAAAAGCAAUCGCUCCCAGGAAAAGAUUCCAAGGGCAUAGGAAGUCUGCUAUGGAAAGAAGCACAUGGUGAGCAGAGUCCACAAAUGGGAGAAUCUCUAUGGGUUUCAGACUGCCUAGACUCAUGAAUAAGGCUUGCCAAAACUUUAGAGAACGUACAAUGCUGCCUCUCGUAUUUCUUGUUUGUCAGACACCUAGCAACAGGGUCUCGUGCUUGCCCUAAUGGGUUUCAGUUUUGCUUUGCCCCAUUCCACAUUUCUAGGCCCCUUCUCAUCACUUCAGAGUAGCAACUUUUCCCCUGUCAUAGAUAUGUAUGCUGGAAGCAGGUGCCUUGCUGUUUUCAAUUUUACAUUGCUCCUUAGCUAAGGGCUUGUUGUGGGUCUCAGAAUAGACUACAGACUUGGAAUCUUGAAAAAUGAUAAAACUGUUAAGAUGUUAGAAGCUCCUUAAUGUUGACUGGAUGCAUUUUUUUUACUGUAAAAUGUAUAUGAGUAUAAGGUGUAAUGGUAGAAUUGUGUCAUUUGUAUAUAAUGUACCUUCAACCAAAAGGCUCAUAUGCCAAAGGUAUAACUCAUAAUGAAACAAUGAUUAGAGUUGGUGACUUGAGAAAAAUGACAGCAUCUUGCAGCAUUUACCCCAGGCAGUUAAAACUAAAACUGACAACAUAUCAAAAAUACCACUUGCUACAAAAUUAUCCAGAAAACUUUUUUGAAAGAAUGAUAUUUUAUUUUGAGUUUUUAAGAGUUGAGAGGAAGCUUUGAAAAAAAGUGAUAUUUAAAAUAUAUUGGACGUAGGGAUGUGGGUCUACUAAACAAGAAUAUGAAUGAAAAGAUGCAAAAGAAACACUUGAAAAGAUGAGGAGGAUUAAAAUAAUUUCAUAAUUAAUAAAUGAGGUAUAAGUUGUAGGGUAUACGCCAUAAAAAUGGACUCUUCAUGACCUGAGACCCCAGAAUAAUCUGCCAGUCUUCAGCCCCUCCUAUGUCCCCUCAGCCCUGGAAAUUCCACCACUGGCAAACUUUCCAUGUUUGGGCUUUCUGUUCCCACCUGCCAUUUCCUUAUUCUUUGUGAUCUCCACGAAAUAUUUCCCAAACCGUAGCACUAGUUCUCUAUAUUCAUUAUCUUUGUUCUCAGAAAUCAUUUCUUAACUUUAUCUGUAUUCAUUUUAUGCUGAAUUUAUUCCCAUGCCAUGAGUUUUUGUUUCUUCGGUUUCUUCUGGGAUAUCUUUUUCUUCUGUGCGACCUCCUCUUCUGGCUUUGGAACAAUUGUUCCUUCUCAGUGAAAAGCAUCUCAGUGUGGCGGAGGAGCUCACGUAUGGGUUAAUCUGGCCAUGAGCUCUGUAGGUUCAUCAGCGCCAUCUUAGGUGCCUUGUUCGCCUGGAUGUGUUCGAUGAUAGAGAAUCUACAUCUAAACCCUGAAGUUCAGCAUUACUCUCUGCAUUUUUAAGCAUGUGCAGCAAAAAUUCAGCACUUAUUU